rnacentral:rRNA from 1 species
UGAAUACGAGACGCUAAGGCGUCGAAGUAGUGUAUGUCAUACUUCCAAGAAAAGCUUGCACUGUCAUAGAUAAAAAACGCCUGUACCAUAACCGACACAGGUGGGUAGGUAGAGUAUACUAAGGGGCGCGAGAUAACUCUCUCUAAGGAACUCGGCAAAAUAACUCCGUAACUUCGGGAGAAGGAGUGCCUUAUUCGUAAGGUUGCAAUAACAAGAUCCAAGCAACUGUUUAUCAAAAACACAGGUCUCCGCUAAGUCGUAAGACGAUGUAUGGGGGCUGACGCCUGCCCAGUGCCAGAAGGUUAAAGAAGUUGGUUAGCAAUUGCGAAGCUGAUAACUGAAGCCCUGGUGAACGGCGGCCGUAACAAUAACGGUCCUAAGGUAGCGAAAUUCCUUGUCGGGUAAGUUCCGACCCGCACGAAAGGCGUAAUGAUUUGGAUACUGUCUCGGAGAGGGGCUCGGUGAAAUAGACUUGUCUGUGAAGAUGCGGACUACCUGCACCAGGACAGAAAGACCCUAUGAAGCUUUACUGUAACUUGAAAUUGAAAUUGGACUUUAUUCGCGCAGUAUAGGUGGGAGGCGUUGAUUAUAAUCUUGUGGGAUUAUUGGAGCCAUCAGUGAGAUACCACUCUUGUAAUGUUAGAUUUCUAACUUUGAAUCAUUAUCUGGUCAAAGAACAGUUUCAGGCGGGCAGUUUGACUGGGGCGGUCGCCUCCUAAACGGUAACGGAGGCGUACAAAGGUUUCCUCUGAACGGUUAGAAAUCGUAUCUAGAGUGUAAAGGCAUAAGGAAGCUUGACUGUGAGACCUACAAGUCGAGCAGGGACGAAAGUCGGUCUUAGUGAUCUGACGGUACUGAGUGGAAAGGCCGUCACUCAACGGAUAUAGUUACUCUAGGAUAACAGGCUGAUCUCCCCCAAGAGUUCACAUCGACGGGGAGGUUUGGCACCUGGAUGUCGGCUCAUCGCAUCCUGGGGCGGUAGUACGUCCCAAGGGUUGGGCUGUUCGCCCAUGAAAGCGGUACGCGAGCUGGGUUCAGAACGUCGUGAGACAGUUCGGUCCAUAUCCGGUGUAGGCGUUAGAAUAUUGAGAGGAGCCUUCUUUAGUACGAGAGGACCGAGAAGGACAUACCUCUGGUGUACCAGUUAUCGUGCCAACGGUAAACGCUGGGUAGCUAUGUAUGGAGUGGAUAACCGCUGAAAGCAUCUAAGUGGGAAGCCCACCUCAAGAUAAGUAUUCUCAUC